UACAGAGGGUGCGAGCGUUGUCCGGAAUUAUUGGGCGUAAAGAGCUCGUAGGCGGUUUGUCACGUCGGCUGUGAAAACCCGAGGCUCAACCUCGGGCCUGCAGUCGAUACGGGCAGACUAGAGUAUGGCAGGGGAGACUGGAAUUCCUGGUGUAGCGGUGAAAUGCGCAGAUAUCAGGAGGAACACCGAUGGCGAAGGCAGGUCACUGGGCCGCAACUGACGCUGAGGAGCGAAAGCAUGGGGAGCGAACAGG
rnacentral:rRNA from 1 species